rnacentral:rRNA from 1 species
UUUACAUAGAGUUUGAUCCUGGCUCAGGACGAACGCUGGCGGUGCGCCUAAUGCAUGCAAGUCGAACGGGCGAAGGGGCUUCGGCCCCCUAGCUAGUGGCAGACGGCUGAGUAACACGUAAGUUACCUACCCCGAAGAGGGGGAUAAACUCGGGAAACCGGGUCUAAUACCCCGUACGUUCUUCGCACUCCGGUGCGGAGAAGAAAGGUUCCGGCCGCUUCGGGAGGGGCUUGCGGCCUAUCAGGUAGUUGGUGGGGUAAUGGCCCACCAAGCCUAAGACGGGUAACCGGUGUGAGAGCACGAUCGGUCAGAGGGGGACUGAGACACGGCCCCCACUCCUACGGGAGGCAGCAGCAGGGAAUCUUGCGCAAUGGGCGAAAGCCUGACGCAGCGACACCGCGUGGGGGAAGAAAGCUUUCGAGUUGUAAACCCCUUUUCCCGGGGAAGAGAACGGACGGUACCCGGGGAAUAAGGUUCGGCUAACUACGUGCCAGCAGCCGCGGUAAUACGUAGGAACCGAGCGUUGUCCGGAUUUACUGGGCGUAAAGUGCGCGUAGGCGGUCUGUUAAGUCUCAUGUGAAAUCUCCCGGCUCAACUGGGAGGGGUCAUGGGAAACUGGCAGGCUUGAGGGCAGCAGAGGAGAGUGGAAUUCCCGGAGUAGUGGUGAAAUGCGUAGAUACCGGGAGGAACACCAGAGGCGAAGGCGACUCUCUGGGCUGUACCUGACGCUGAGGCGCGAAAGCGUGGGGAGCAAACCGGAUUAGAUACCCGGGUAGUCCACGCCCUAAACGAUGGAUACUAGAUAUGGGGGGUAUCGACCCCUCCCGUGUCGCAGCUAACGCGAUAAGUAUCCCGCCUGAGGAGUACGGCCGCAAGGCUAAAACUCAAAGGAAUUGACGGGGACCCGCACAAGCAGCGGAGCGUGUGGUUUAAUUCGAUGAUAAGCGAAGAACCUUACCAGGGCUUGACAUGUUUCUGA